rfam:Ananas comosus cultivar MD2 ACMD2_Scaffold_2444, whole genome shotgun sequence.
ACGUCCAUUGUCUAAUGGAAAGGACAGGGGUAGUAUAAACCUCUGGUAUAGGUUCAAAUCCUAUUGGACGCU